UGCCGGGUGGUGUAGCGGUAACACGUCUGACUCUGGAUCAGAAGAUCCCUGGUUCGAAUCCAGGCCCGGCAGCCC
rnacentral:tRNA from 1 species